UCAGGCAAUGAUUGUCCAAACGCAAUUCUUGUCUAAACGGUACGAAAUCAAGAAUUGUGUGGGGACAUCAGCGCUCGA
rfam:Apis mellifera strain DH4 linkage group 11, whole genome shotgun sequence.